rnacentral:rRNA from 1 species
CGAGUUUGAUAUGGCUCAGAUUGAACGCUGGCGGCAUGCCUUACACAUGCAAGUCGAACGGUAACAGGUCUUCGGAUGCUGACGAGUGGCGAACGGGUGAGUAAUACAUCGGAACGUGCCCGAUCGUGGGGGAUAACGAAGCGAAAGCUUUGCUACUACCGCAUACGAUCUACGGAUGAAAGCAGGGGACCGCAAGGCCUUGCGCGAACGGAGCGGCCGAUGGCAGAUUAGGUAGUUGGUGGGAUAAAAGCUUACCAAGCCGACGAUCUGUAGCUGGUCUGAGAGGACGACCAGCCACACUGGGACUGAGACACGGACCCGACUCCUACGGGAGGCAGCAGUAAGGAAUAUUGGACAAUGGACGAAAGUCUGAUCCAGCCAUCCCGCGUGCAGGAUGAAUGCCCUAUGGGUUGUAAACUGCUUUUGGAAGGGAAGAAACGCCUGGAUUUAUCCGGGCCUGACGGUACCUUCAGAAUAAGCACCGGCUAACUCCGUG